rnacentral:rRNA from 1 species
ACGGAGGGUGCGAGCGUUAAUCGGAAUCACUGGGCGUAAAGCGCACGUAGGCGGUGUCGUAAGUCGGAUGUGAAAGCCCUCGGCUCAACCGGGGAACUGCAUUGGAUACUGCGAUGCUUGAGUGCCGUAGAGGUAGGCGGAAUUCCAGGUGUAGGGGUGAAAUGCGUAGAUAUCAGGAGGAACACCAGUGGCGAAGGCGGCCUACUGGCCCGUAAUUGACGCUGAGGUGCGAAAGCGUGGGGAUCAAACGG